UGAAUAUAAACAAAGGACGAAUAUUUUUUGUCAAAAGAUAUUUUGCAUAAUCAGAGUUGAAAUAAACUUUUCUUAUCUUGUCCAUUGUUCUUUGGUGUGAGAAUAAAACUUGUCCAUCUCAUUUAUUCCUGCACCUGCAGCCCAUGUGUGGUGAGUUUUAAGUGGGACCUCCUGUUUUACAGAUGGGCUAGACAUAGUGUGCUUAUUAUGUAGUGCACAACCAGUAUUCUUUAAAAAUAAUUGCGUUUGUGUGGGCUAACGCUCUGAGGUAUGCUUUAACAGCUGCGAAUUUAAUAAGAACACAUUAAAGGUGGGAGAGGAGUAAGGAAUGAGAGGUAUGUUGGAAAAACUGUGCUUAUGAAAUAUGAAUGACUGUUUCUGCAUCUUCUUCAUCUUCAGCAGGCUUGAUACCGUCUCUGGUUUUGCAAUCCUUCCACUCAGCGCAAAAAAGGGAUGUACAGUCCAGCAGUCUUGUGAGUGGUUGGUGGGGUGGUGCACUGUAUACAGAUAGCUCUCCUGAACUUGUCAAACUCAGCUGAGCAAGUUAAAUAAUAAUAUAUGAAUCUAGUAAAAAAAAAGUAAGUUCAUUAAGUAAAGCUGAAUAUUUGAUAGCAUAGACUUGAAUCCUGUCUAUAAUACCAGAUGCAACACAAAUAUUAGGUAUAGGUAUAUGUAGUUAUAUAUGUCGGCUUAAUGUAGUAGCAUAAAUAAAAUAAAUUCUAGGUAUAAACGCAGUGCAGAUGCGCUCUUUAUCCUCGAUCUUGCAUUGCGUCAUGUAAUUGUGUUGCACAAGAAAAACUCUCACAAACCUGCAUAAUGCCUGCUGUAGUGUCCUCUUAACAGGCAAAUUUUAUUCAGCAUAAUCUUCUAUUGAUUGAGUACACUAUGGAACUUGGUCAUUUCACCGAUAUAGAUAAAGUCAUACUAUGCUAGACAUGAAAACAUUUGUAAGUCACUUGGUAAUAUAUGACUAGCAUUGUCAAGAGCAGUGGAAGAAUAUCUUAAAAACUUAUAUUGCAGUUGACAUUGUUGCUGAUACAGUUCUGUCAAUUAUUCAACUUUUUGAACCAUAAAACACUGUUAUGUUCCCUCGAAAUCCAGAAGGAUAUCUCUUUGUAUUUGUUAUGCAGAUCUUGGAUUUUUCCAGGCAAUUGUUAUGGACUACGUCCUACACUGAAAAAAUUGUCUAAGAGGGGUUGUUCAAAUUGCAAAAACAAAUUUGUCAACAAUAACAUGACUUUUUUACAUUUCUCUGUCCAGCAUGUUUAAAUCUUACAAAGGUUGCUUGAUUGUGGCCGAUGUGAGACCUGCAUGUUUUAAUCAGGUUGAGGAAACAUGACUUUAUUAUAAUUUCUGGUGAGGCUCCUCCCUCUGGAAUUCUCCUACCCAAAACUUUUGGAGGGAAAAUUCAAAUGUAACAGGACACAGGAGAGUUACAGGAGCAGAGGACACACAGUGGGGAGCAGGGGGAUUAUGAGAGCUGAUCUGGAGAGUCGUCUACAAAGAGUGACGUCCAGAGCUCUGCUGGAGCUGUGGGGAAGUUCAUGAAUGUUAUAGUUGAUGUUUCAGAAAAAAGGAAGAUGUUUGAGAACCAACAAAACACAGACCACAGAUGAACAAAGGUGAUGUGGCACUAGGAGACUUUAUACCAGAUGCCCUCCCUGUUACUGCGUUUAGAGGAAGAAAAGCAGCACAUGGCAGAGACCAGAGCGUCUUCACUGGAAUAAAUCUUCACACUGUCCAGCUCCAAAUUGUGUUUCUCUGUACUUGUGCU